UACGUAGGGUGCAAGCGUUGUCCGGAAUUAUUGGGCGUAAAGAGCUCGUAGGCGGUUCGUCGCGUCGGCUGUGAAAUCCCGGAGCUCAACUCCGGGUCUGCAGUCGAUACGGGCGGACUCGAGUUCGGCAGGGGAGACUGGAAUUCCUGGUGUAGCGGUGAAAUGCGCAGAUAUCGGGAAGAACACCCGUGGCGAAGGCGGCUCUCUGGGACGGUACUGACGCUGAGACGCGAAAGCGUGGGGAGCGAACAGG
rnacentral:rRNA from 1 species